AUACAGAGGGUGCGAGCGUUAAUCGGAAUUACUGGGCGUAAAGCGCGCGUAGGCGGCUUAUUAAGUCAGAUGUGAAAUCCCCGGGCUCUACCUGGGAACUGCAUCUGAUACUGGUAAGCUAGAGUUUUGGAGAGGGAAGUAGAAUUUCAGGUGUAGCGGUGAAAUGCAUAGAGAUCUGAAGGAAUACCAGUGGCGAAGGCGACUUCCUGGCCAAAAACUGACGCUGAGGUGCGAAAGCGUGGGUAGCAAACGGGAUUAGAAACCCUAGUAGUCC
rnacentral:rRNA from 1 species